AACGAACGCUGGCGGCAGGCCUAACACAUGCAAGUCGAACGCCCCGCAAGGGGAGUGGCAGACGGGUGAGUAACACGUGGGAACGUACCCUUCGGUUCGGAAUAACACAGAGAAAUUUGUGCGAAUACCGGAUACGUCCGAGAGGAGAAGGAUUUAUCGCCGAUGGAUCGGCCCGCGUCUGAUUAGCUUGUUGGUGAGGUAACGGCUCACCAAGGCGACGAUCAGUAGCUGGUCUGAGAGGAUGAUCAGCCACACUGGGACUGAGACACGGCCCAGACUCCUACGGGAGGCAGCAGUGGGGAAUAUUGGACAAUGGGGGAAACCCUGAUCCAGCCAUGCCGCGUGAGUGAUGAAGGCCCUAGGGUUGUAAAGCUCUUUUACCUGGGAAGAUAAUGACUGUACCAGGAGAAUAAGCCCCGGCUAACUUCGUGCCAGCCGCCGCGGUAAAAC
rnacentral:rRNA from 1 species